AUUGAACGCUGGCGGCAUGCCUUACACAUGCAAGUCGAACGGCAGCGCGGGAGCAAUCCUGGCGGCGAGUGGCGAACGGGUGAGUAAUAUAUCGGAACGUGCCCAGUAGUGGGGGAUAGCCCGGCGAAAGCCGGAUUAAUACCGCAUGAGACCUGAGGGUGAAAGCGGGGGAUCGCAAGACCUCGCGCUAUUGGAGCGGCCGAUAUCAGAUUAGCUAGUUGGUGGGGUAAAGGCCUACCAAGGCAACGAUCUGUAGUUGGUCUGAGAGGACGACCAGCCACACUGGGACUGAGACACGGCCCAGACUCCUACGGGAGGCAGCAGUGGGGAAUUUUGGACAAUGGGCGCAAGCCUGAUCCAGCAAUGCCGCGUGAGUGAAGAAGGCCUCGG
rnacentral:rRNA from 1 species